UACGUAGGCAGCAAGCGUUGUUCGGAGUUACUGGGCGUAAAGAGUGCGUAGGCGGUGCUCUAAGUUUGGUGUGAAAUCUCCCGGCUUAACUGGGAGGGUGCGCCGAAAACUGGAGUGCUUGAGUAUGGGAGAGGCAAGCGGAAUUCCUGGUGUAGCGGUGAAAUGCGCAGAUAUCAGGAGGAACACCGGUGGCGAAGGCGGGUCUCUGGGCCGAUACUGACGCUGGAGGGAGCGAAAAGCCGUGGGGAGCGAACAGG
rnacentral:rRNA from 1 species